UCCUAUCUUUUGUCAGACUGCUGAAAAGACUUUCCAGACUUCUAACUGCUGCCAAGUCUUGUGCACUGUCUCACACUGGAAUCAUCAACAAGAAACAAUGCAAAACCAACAUAGAAUCACUACAGAUUAUGAGGCUGAGGUCUUCAAGGAUGUUUUUAUCCAGCCUCGUAUGUGUUAAGAGCAACUGUAACCAGAGUAACAUGCCCCUAUUUUACUCCACACCACCUUCCAGGAUAAAAUCUACAGUUACAGAGGUCUUGGAAUAAGACUUCUUCACAUAGUAGUGUGAUCUAUAAGACAGACCCAGAAAAGAUUGGAAAGGGCUGAGAAGGGGAAGACGCGAAGCGCUUGAUCCAAUGGGAUGCCAUGCCAGCGAACAAGUUCUCUGCAUUGCUCAUCUCUCUGGAGAACAUCCGUCCAAACUUCCUUGGACACUUUCUUUAAGAAAGCAGACAAGACUCCAGAAAAACCUGCAGUCAGAACUCCUGAGAAGACUCCAGACAAGAACUGUUCAAAAAGUCCAACCAAGAGCCCUUCAAAAAGUGUAACAAAGUCACUUCAAAGAAAUCCUUUCAAAUCAGUAUGAUUGCUAUUUACAAUAAAAAUACAUUAAUGUAGCUAUAUAAGUCAUCUAUAAUUGAUCGAGUACAAAAUUCUGGGGUAUUUUUGGUGAAAAUAGGGUAUCAGGCCUUGGUUCAGGAACCAAUCCCCCAUUUAUAACAUUUUUUUUUUUAUGAGAAAAUUGGUUCUGACAACGUUUUGACUUAAGACGCAGUUUUCAGGAACCAAUUGUGUCCUAAAUCCAAGGACUGCCUGCAUUUUAGUUUGUAUAUUGGUACUAACUACCCCAGCCACCACUGUUACACUUCCUUUUGAGCUAUACAUUGAGCCUCGCUUUUCUCAUGA